AUAUUAUUGUAUUAAAAGGUUGCCAUUGAAGGGUUUCAAAAUGGAAACUUCACAUAAACUUUAUUACAUGUUUACAGUAUUUAUUUUAUAUUCAGUUUUACAUUGUGAAGCAUCGGAUUGUAACUACUACUACUAUUCGUACUACGACUGCGAUCAUACUUUGUCUGUUGGUGGGAUUGUUGGUAUAGUUAUCGGUUGCCUCUUGUUCCUGGCAGUAGUGAUCGUUAUAACCUGUGCUGUUUGUGGUGCUCUGUGUUUCAGUCACCGAUCCAACCACCAGGUUGUAACCGUUGUUCCGAGCAACAAUGUGUCAAUGUUUACAGCACAGCAAGGAUAUCCUCAAAUGCAGCAGAUGAAUUACCAUAUGGGAGGACCAGCAUAUCUACCUCCGCCGCCAGCAUACUAUGAUAACCAAUAUCCAGUACCUUCAAUGCAAAGAAACGUUCUUCAGACACCAACUGCUCUAAGUUCUCAGGAACACAAAUCAAGACAAGCUAAUCCCUUCCUUACAACAACUGCCCUAGGGAAUUACAACCGAUAAAUACUUACAUUAAAAGAUUGAGAAAACAAUUUCAUUUGAUGUUCUGACAUGUGAAGCUGUCAAACCAUAAUUUGUUUUUGUGAAAAACAUAGAAUUGGCACUACACCAAUCUUGUGUUUAUACUUAUUCCUGUAAUAGCGUCAAAACAUAAAUAUCUGCACAUCAUCAACUAAAGAUGCAUCAGCAAGCUAAGCCUUUCAUUCUUUAAAUAUUCAUUUCAUUUCUUCAUAUAUAACGCCCUUUGCAGUAUCUUCUCUUCUGUAAGAGAUUAUCAUAUUGUAUCAUUCAAGUUCAGUUUUGGUCACAGUUAUACAUCUAUUCACCAAACAACUCAUCCAAAUCAAUUAAGUUGGGGUUGGUUGGAGUAAAUAAAAUUCAGUAAAAUAUUGA